rnacentral:rRNA from 1 species
GACGAACGCUGGCGGCGUGCUUAACACAUGCAAGUCGAACGGAAAGGCCCUGCUUUUGUGGGGUGCUCGAGUGGCGAACGGGUGAGUAACACGUGAGUAACCUGCCCUUGACUUUGGGAUAACUUCAGGAAACUGGGGCUAAUACCGGAUAUGAGCUCCUGCUGCAUGGUGGGGGUUGGAAAGUUUCGGCGGUUGGGGAUGGACUCGCGGCUGAUCAGCUUGUUGGUGGGGUAGUGGCUUACCAAGGCUUUGACGGGUAGCCGGCCUGAGAGGGUGACCGGCCAGAUUGGGGCAGAGAUAGGGCCCAGAAUACUAUGGGAGGCGGCAGUGGGGAAUAUUGCACAAUGGGCGGAAGCCUGAUGCAGCAACGCCGCGUGCGGGAUGACGGCCUUCGGGUUGUAAACCGCUUUCGCCUGUGACGAAGCGUGAGUGACGGUAAUGGGUAAAGAAGCACCGGCUAACUACGUG